AUUGAACGCUGGCGGCAGGCUUAACACAUGCAAGUCGAGCGGGGGAAGGUAGCUUGCUACCGGACCUAGCGGCGGACGGGUGAGUAAUGCUUAGGAAUCUGCCUAUUAGUGGGGGACAACAUCUCGAAAGGGAUGCUAAUACCGCAUACGUCCUACGGGAGAAAGCAGGGGAUCUUCGGACCUUGCGCUAAUAGAUGAGCCUAAGUCGGAUUAGCUAGUUGGUGGGGUAAGGGCCUACCAAGGCGACGAUCUGUAGCGGGUCUGAGAGGAUGAUCCGCCACAAUGGGACUGAGACACGGCUCAGACUCCUACGGGAGGUAGCAGUGGGGAAUAUUGGACAAUGGGGGGAACCCUGAUCCAGCCAUGCCGCGUGUGUGAAGAAGGCCUUAUGGUUGUAAAGCACUUUAAGCGAGGAGGAGGCUACUCUAGUUAAUACCUAGGGAUAGUGGACGUUACUCGCAGAAUAAGCACCGGCUAACUCUGUGCCAGCCGCCGCCGUAA
rnacentral:rRNA from 1 species